AUUUAUUUUACUCGAACGUUUAAUUGUGAUGCAUUGGGUUGGCAACUAAGUGACUAAGUCGACUGUCCUUUAAUAUUUUUAUACGCUUUUAUUCACCAAAGUGGUUAAGUACAAUAUUACAAUGAAGUAACGAAGUUACAAAGUAUUAAAAUAGCUGUUCAAAUCACAGCCAAGACUGUAUCCAAGACUAGUUUCGUGGUCGAAUGCUCACAGUUUUUAUAUGUUGAGUUUGUAGGUGUUGAGGGGCAAGGAGAAGAUCCCGAAUGCCCUACAUAAUAGGGAAAAUUUAGUGUUGGGCCAUGUGCAAAGGUUGUUUUUGGUCCUCCAAAGUUAAUAUUUCUUCCUUGUUGAUCCUCAUUCUCGUCUUGCUCCGAUCUGGUUUAUUCAUGCAGAUGGUAAGUUUCUUUGGUUGGUCAAUUGAAAAUUUUGACAUUGCGGUGCAACGUGUCCCAAUUUAUUACAUUUAUAACAUUUUACUCGUUGUCGCUCAGUAAAUGGUACACGUUUCGUUUUAAAAAAUGGCGAAAUAUCUUCGUUGAUUGGAUUAUUACGCGUGGCAGGUAAUGGUCGGUUGUUUGUCUGCAUCGGCCUGUUACUAAGUCGGUUAUACGUUGCUGUUGGUCGAGUACCCGUCCUUCUCCGUCCCUUUUGUUCUC
rnacentral:misc_RNA from 1 species